rnacentral:rRNA from 1 species
AACGAACGCUGGCGGCACGCCUAACACAUGCAAGUCGAACGAACAAUAGAUUUCGGUCUAUUCGUUAGUGGCAAACGGGUGAGUAACACGUGGGAAUCUGCCCAUCAGUGGGGAAUAACUUUGGGAAACUAAAGCUAAUACCGCAUACGUCCUUAGGGAGAAAGACUUCGGUCGCUGAAGGAGGAGCCCGCGUUAGAUUAGGUUGUUGGUGGGGUAAUGGCCUACCAAGCCUAUGAUCUAUAGCUGGUCUUAGAGGAUGAUCAGCCACACUGGGACUGAGACACGGCCCAGACUCCUACGGGAGGCAGCAGUGGGGAAUAUUGGACAAUGGGGGAAACCCUGAUCCAGCGAUGCCGCGUGAGUGAAGAAGGCC